UACGUAGGGCGCAAGCGUUGUCCGGAAUUAUUGGGCGUAAAGAGCUCGUAGGCGGUCUGUCGCGUCUGUUGUGAAAACUCGAGGCUCAACCUCGGGCUUGCAGUGGAUACGGGCAGACUAGAGUGCGGUAGGGGAGACUGGAAUUCCUGGUGUAGCGGUGAAAUGCGCAGAUAUCAGGAGGAACACCAAUGGCGAAGGCAGCUCGCUGGAACGGUACUGACGCUGAGGCGCGAAAGCGUGGGGAGCAAACAGG
rnacentral:rRNA from 1 species